rfam:Gongylonema pulchrum genome assembly, scaffold: GPTH_scaffold0007501
GGAUCGGUGGUGUAGUGGUAAUACAUUGCGUCUGGACGUGAAGGGAAGUGGUUCGAUUCCCUUCCGGUGCA